rnacentral:rRNA from 1 species
UACGAAGGGUGCAAGCGUUACUCGGAAUUACUGGGCGUAAAGCGUGCGUAGGUGGUUUGUUAAGUCUGUUGUGAAAGCCCCGGGCUCAACCUGGGAAUGGCAAUGGAUACUGGCAAGCUAGAGUGCGGUAGAGGGUAGUGGAAUUCCCGGUGUAGCGGUGAAAUGCGUAGAGAUCGGGAGGAACACCAGUGGCGAAGGCGGCUACCUGGACCAGCACUGACACUGAGGCACGAAAGCGUGGGGAGCAAGCAGG